rnacentral:rRNA from 1 species
GUAGGGGGCGAGCGUUGAUCGGAUUUACUGGGCGUAAAGCGCGCGCAGGCGGUUUAGUAAGCCAGAUGUGAAAGCCCCGGGCUUAACCUGGGAAUGGCAUUUGGGACUGCUAUGCUUGAGUGCGGCAGAGGAGACUGGAAUUCCUGGUGUAGAAGUGAAAUGCGUAGAUAUCGGGAGGAAUACCGAUGGCGAAGGCAGGUCUCUGGACUGACACUGACGCUCAUGCACGAAAGCGUGGGGAGCAAACAGGAUUAGAUACCCUGGUAGUCCACGCCCUAAACGAUGUCGACUGGUUGUUGGGGGUUUGACACUCUCAGUAACGAAGCUAACGCGUGAAGUCGACCGCCUGGGGAGUACGGCCGCAAGGUUA